rnacentral:rRNA from 1 species
GAGAGGGGCCAUGGGGGCCGGGGGGAGCCGCCUGCGCUUAGCUGCGCGGCGCGCGACCGCCGGACUACACUCCCGGGCACCGCUCUGCUACUCUACACACUGUGGAUACUUCUUUCUACUCUUCUUCCUUUGGGGGGCGCUUCGCCGCCCAGAGGUAACAAACACAAACAACUAUUAUGCAAAGCCUGUCAACCAGAAUUUCGUAAUUGGAAUUUUAUAAAUCUUCAAAACUUUCAACAACGGAUCUCUUGGUUCUCGCAUCGAUGAAGAACGCAGCGAAAUGCGAUACGUAAUGUGAAUUGCAGAAUUCCGUGAAUCAUCGAAUCUUUGAACGCACAUUGCGCCCCUUGGUAUUCCAGGGGGCAUGCCUGUUUGAGCGUCAUUUCCUUCUCAAGCACCUGGUGUUUGGUUGUGAGUGAUACUCCCUUGAGUUAGCUUGAAAUUGCUGGCCAAUGGGACGGCGCUUCUGCGGACACGCUUCUGCGGGUUUGCAUGCCAACAUUGUCGUAUUAGGUUUUACCAACUUCGGCGGUGGGUGUGCGUACUGCGGGGCUGUUCUCGACGUGCUUCCCGGCGAACAAUACUCUCCAAGUUUGACCUCAAAUCAGGUAGGAUUACCCGCUGAACUUAAGCAUAUC